GAACGAGAGAAGGGCUUGAUGAAUGAUAAACUCAGAUUAAACUGAAAUAGACAAUAGUAGGAUCGUCUUUUAUGGUUUUAUUUACUGAAUCGUCUGCAAAACCAUAAAGAUAAGAAAAAGAUGUGUGACGUGAUAGGUGAGUUAAAGCAGUUGCCCUUUGAGUCUGUGGGAAAGAGGAACAAGGUGCUUGAGGUGGGUGCCUGGACACAGUCAAAACGACCCUGUUGAGCGAACAAGGAGCUCUCCUUUGGCGAUAAAGGUCUUUCUUGUGCACCUGGAAGAUGGCUGAGCGCAACCCUGGACGAGUGGCUGUCGUAGUCCUCUCUCUGGUUGCACACCUAGUUGCCAUGGUGUUUAACACACUGGCCUCAAUUGGUGGACCAUCAGGUAUUUUUAAGCAAAGCACAGAGGACGUUACACAAAAGUAUGUGACGGACAUCACGCCUGCUAGAUGGUCUCUCUUCGUGUGGGAUUUCACCUACGUAUGGUUGCUCUGUAUGCAUAUAUAUCUCCUAACAGGGCUCUUCAGAAGAAGCGCGUCCUCAUGGAUGUAUGCGUAUCCCGCGGUGCUGCCAUAUGCAUUCCAUGUGAUAUUGAUAACAAACAUCAUCAUGAAUGUUUCCUAUCUGUUCCUGUUUGACAGGGAGUUGUUAUUGGCAUCUCUGGUAAUGUCUGCAACGAUGGCCUUUACAAACUGCCUUCUAAUGUUCUUCUCCUGUUACGGGCUCAAGGUGUACGGAGCCUGGCUGAACAAACACCACUCUCUUGACCUAUGGCUUCUCCGUAUUUUGGUACAAAAUGGGGUCGCUAUGUAUACAACAUUCACAAGUGUGGCUACCCUUUUAAAGCUGACAAUUGUUCUGAACUACAACCUGAUGUCUAGUUCCAACUCAGCGAUCAUCUCAUUGUCUCUUCUCCUCGCUGGGAUCCUGAUCUGGUUUGUUGUGGAGAACUUCCUGUUGGAGAAUCAUCUCCGCUACAUCCUCUCUGUCUACCCGGUAGUUAUCCUUGUGCUGGCAGGAAUUGUGUCCCACUCUAGUCAGUUUGGACUUAAUGAUAUAGUUUCAGCGGCGCUCCUGGGUGUGACCUGCAUUCUCCUCAUCAUACGGAUCGCUCUGGUGGUGUGGCGGCACUACCACCACCCUCUCUACCGGCCGGACAUGCCAGUGAUGUCACCGAUGGAGCUGGUCAGGACACAGAACCGAGUGUUUUUUUAGUUUAGUGGGUUUUUUUCAGGUGAGGGAUUGUGGGUGUUCUUCUUGUGGUAAGGGCUGGGUCCUAUUUUGUAGAUUUAAAGCAUUUGAUUCAACUGUUUGUCUCGUGUCUUGAUUAUUUUGUCACUGUAAUGGAUGAAUGCCAAAGCAUGGUUAUGGACACAUGCAUUCAAAAGAUAACCCAACAUACUCUACAGUCAGACUGCCAAAAGCACUAAAUGGCAAUGGAAACAUUGGAUCCUUUCAAUAACCUAUAUUCCAAUAAAAUUGUGAAAACUACCUUUGCCUUGAAGUUA
rnacentral:lncRNA from 1 species